UCAAAUUCUGGUGUAUUGGAA
rnacentral:siRNA from 1 species